AGGACAUCUAGUGGACAUGAGCAGGGUUGGAGAAAAAAAUGCUGCUUUUAUGAAGUUAUCUAGAGUUGAAAACUUUAUACUUAAGGUUGGUACAUAUGAAGAGAAAAUGUUUAAGAAAAGAUCUGAAAUACGAGAACGCAGAUUGAAAAGGCUUAUUCGAGAUAAUGAGGAUGCCAGGAGGGAAGAAAAGAAUGAAAAAUGUUUCUUUGAUCUUGACGAUGAAAAUACUUCUGAUUGCACUCUUCUGAUCAAGAAGGCACCAGAU
rnacentral:sRNA from 1 species